UACGUAGGGUGCGAGCGUUAAUCGGAAUUACUGGGCGUAAAGCGUGCGCAGGCGGUGAUGUAAGACAGAUGUGAAAUCCCCGGGCUCAACCUGGGAACUGCAUUUGUGACUGCAUCGCUGGAGUGCGGCAGAGGGGGAUGGAAUUCCGCGUGUAGCAGUGAAAUGCGUAGAUAUGCGGAGGAACACCGAUGGCGAAGGCAGCCCCCUGGGCUAACACUGACGCUCAUGCACGAAAGCGUGGGGAGCAAACAGG
rnacentral:rRNA from 1 species